rnacentral:misc_RNA from 1 species
AAGUCGUAACAAGGUUUCCGUAGGUGAACCUGCGGAAGGAUCAUUAACACGUAAAAUUACACUUGCUCUCGUGGCCUGCUAAAAUUGCAAUCCCUGGUAAAUCAUUGUUGAACAGAUUUUGAUUCAGGGACCUCAGUUUGGUAGGUUUCGAUCGAGCGAUCGUUGCAAGUGACCUGGUUUCCAGAAGCAUCAUGUCUGAAAGUGUCAUUGUUGUGGAAGGAUAACGCUUUACGAUCACUGGCCGAACACCGGCUAGUGGACGGGUCGCAGCGGCUUCGGCCCCCCCAUAUUCACCCCACUACCAGAACUCGCCUCGUAGGAAACUGCUGGGCAACAAAACGAACAACUGUUAACAAUGGAUAUCUUGGUUCUC